rnacentral:rRNA from 1 species
UACGUAGGGGGCAAGCGUUAUCCGGAUUUACUGGGUGUAAAGGGAGCGUAGGUGGUUUGGUAAGUCAGAAGUGAAAGCCCAGGGCUCAACCCUGGGACUGCUUUUGAAACUAUCAAACUAGAGUGCAGGAGAGGUAAGUGGAAUUCCUAGUGUAGCGGUGAAAUGCGUAGAUAUUAGGAGGAACACCAGUGGCGAAGGCGACUUACUGGACUGUAACUGACACUGAGGCUCGAAAGCGUGGGGAGCAAACAGG